UGAGUAAUGUCUGGGAAACUGCCUGAUGGAGGGGGAUAACUACUGGAAACGGUAGCUAAUACCGCAUAACGUCGCAAGACCAAAGAGGGGGACCUUCGGGCCUCUUGCCAUCAGAUGUGCCCAGAUGGGAUAAGCUAGUAGGUGGGGUAACGGCUCACCUAGGCGACGAUCCCUAGCUGGUCUGAGAGGAUGACCAGCCACACUGGAACUGAGACACGGUCCAGACUCCUACGGGAGGCAGCAGUGGGGAAUAUUGCACAAUGGGCGCAAGCCUGAUGCAGCCAUGCCGCGUGUAUGAAGAAGGCCUUCGGGUUGUAAAGUACUUUCAGCGGGGAGGAAGGUGUUGAGGUUAAUAACCUCAGCAAUUGACGUUACCCGCAGAAGAAGCACCGGCUAACUCCGUGCCAGCAGCCGCGGUAAUACGGAGGGUGCAAGCGUUAAUCGGAAUUACUGGGCGUAAAGCGCACGCAGGCGGUCUGUCAAGUCGGAUGUGAAAUCCCCGGG
rnacentral:rRNA from 1 species